rnacentral:rRNA from 1 species
UACAGAGGUCUCAAGCGUUGUUCGGAUUCAUUGGGCGUAAAGGGUGCGUAGGCGGCGCGGUAAGUUGGGUGUGAAAGCCCUCGGCUCAACCGAGGAAUUGCGCCCAAAACUACCGUGCUUGAGGAAGAUAGAGGUGAGCGGAACUCAGGGUGGAGCGGUGAAAUGCGUUGAUAUCCUGAGGAACACCGGUGGCGAAAGCGGCUCACUGGAUCUUUUCUGACGCUGAGGCACGAAAGCUAGGGUAGCGAACGGG